rnacentral:rRNA from 1 species
CGCGAGCAUCUAUACCAAGCUAAUAAGGGCGUACGGUGGAUGCCUAGGCGCUAGGAGCCGACGAAGGACGUGGCAGGCUGCGAUAAGCCUCGGGGAGGCGCCAAGCAACCCUUG